AACGUAGGAGGCGAACGUUAUCCGGAAUUACUGGGCGUAAAGCGCACGCAGGCGGCUUCGUAAGUCCGACGUGAAAGCUCCCGGCUUAACUGGGAGAGGCCGUUGGAUACUGCGGGGCUCGAGGUUAGGAGAGGGAAGUGGAACUCCCGGUGUAGUGGUGGAAUGCGUAGAUAUCGGGAAGAACUCCAGUGGCGAAAGCGACUUCCGGGCCUACACAUAACGAUGAGGUGCGAAAGCGUGGGGAGCGAACAGG
rnacentral:rRNA from 1 species